GGAGGCCAUUCACUCCCUGCUCUGAGACCCGGAUUGACAGCUGCUCCUCAUUGCAACAGCCGCAGAGGCUUCCUCCAGGCUGGAGAGCAGGCAGAUCAGGACAAGGGGUCUGAAAACUAGCAUGGGGUGCCCUCCCGGGCUCAGGAGUGCGGAGCUCAUGGCCUGCCUUUGCUUCCAAGGGAUGCUUUUGUGUCUGUGGCUAGAGUGUGCAUGUGCUCACACUGUUAUCUGCUCAGCUGGUGAGGAUGUCCCCGCUCUGCCUGCCAGUGCCUGCAUGCCUGCAUGUGUGCAUGUGCACGUGCACAUGCCUUUGAUAAUUUGUAUGUAACCACGGAUGGGUCAGGUGAUGGUGAUCCUCAGUGAGUCUGUGCCCAAGUGGGCAUCAGGGUGUGAUGGUGGCUGGGCAUGACUACUCAUGUAGACAGCUUUGUGGCUGUGUGCACGUGUUGCUGUGCCUAGUGUCUAACUGUAUGUGGUUGUAUUAUAGGGAUGUGAGGCUGGCUACCUGGAAGGGUCGCUCUGGGGGCUUUGUCCAAAUAUAGCUAUCUGUGUGUAGCUAUGUAUUUGUGUACAGCUUUAUGUGUGUGGUUGUGGUUCAUGUGUAAAGCUGUUUUUCUGUGUCCAUGUGUAAAGCUUUAAGUCUGUGGACAUGUCUAUAUGUACAGCUACAUAUGUGUCCAUGUGUAUAGCUGUGUGUGUGGUUUUGCAUUCUGCUGUUUGUAUGGCCUUAUUCACAUGUAUAGCUCUGCAUGUAAGACUGGGUGUCUGUCUUUGUGUGCACAGCUGGAAGUGGUGGCUGCAUAGCUGGGUGUGUAACUACACAUCUGUGUGCUGCCUCUGGACUGCAGCUCAUUUGCUGCAGGCCAAGUAAUGGGCCACUCAGGCUUGCGCUGCAUUGAAAGCCCCAUGUCUCUUGUGAGGCUGCCUUGGUGAGUGGACUGGGAUUGUUGUGCAGCUCCCCUCACCUCAGCACCUUACUGCUCUCAACCCCUCUGCUCCAGGGGCCCAGCCCAUCACUCGCUUACCCUAGGGAGAAGUUGCUCUGUAGCUGCCAGAGUGGGUGAGAGCACCAGGAGCCUGAAGACAGCAUGUCUGUCUCACCAGCCCUGUCUGACAGCUCUGAACCCUCAUCCUGCUGCCACCUUGCCUCCUAUUAGUGAUGGAGUUUGAGUUUGUUGGGGUUCGAUGUGUUGGUCUGUUUCACAGCUGUGCUCUUUCCCAAGCAGUAGGGCAUUAGGCUUCUGUGUCCAGAGGAAAAGCCUUACCUUCCUUGAUGAAAACCCUCUGUGCUCCCCUUCCCCAAUGACCAAACUCACAUGUAGGUGUGUGUACCAGAGGGACCUGGGCUUAGUGUGUGCUCACUUGCUCAUGUGUCUGAGCUAGCCUUGCCUCUACUGACACCUGUGGAAGAAAGGCCUGCACCAGGGGAACAUGUGUAGAGAUGCUGUGCCCCUUAGCACUUCGUGUUUGUGUGCUAUGGCUCUGGGACUAAUUCUGGGUGCAGGCUCCCUCCCCAAAUCCUUCAGCACAGUCUGGUAUUGCAGAUUACCCACCACUACCUCCCCAGGGGCAUUCUUCCCCACCCUGCAACAGAAGGGAAAAAGAGUCAAGAACAUCUCCUCAGAGCUGUCCUCCCUCUGCUUAGGCUCCAGCUCUCAUUCCCUCCUACGCAGCAGCCAGUUUCAGGAGCCUCUUCCCCAGCCCCCUUCCCUCCCAGAUCCCCCUGCCAGCCCCAGCUUGUCCCUCAGGGUUGACUGUUAUCCCUGGUCCUAUAGGCCCCCCCUCCCCAUGUUGCUGUCUCUUUUCCUUUGCACAUGAGACUGGAGGUUAGUGGAGGGGUGGGGGAAAGUCACUGCUUUGUUUGUGGGGGGCAGGGGGAGUAAUAUCUCUAAAGGUCAUCUGCAGGAGGGAAGAAAAGGUCCCACCCUCCUCGGACCUCACCCUCCCCACCCCAUUUUUUCCUCCUAGUGACUCAGGCCCUAGCUUUCACUUGGUGCUGAAGACACAUGCCCUCACGCCAGGCCUGGCAUGUGGACUGACUGCAGUGCAUGGGUGGGCAGAAUGGAUGUGAGGACAGGCCAUCCACCUGUCUCCCACGUGCCCCUUUACUUACCUCCAGUGACAGCCCACAACUCUAGAACCAACUCGGCUGCUCUCAGAGAUGGAAGCCCAUAGCACUGUGUGCACCUCCGGGGCUCAAUGACCUUCCCAGCCCCUUGCCCUAUGCCCGCUGCUUUCUGGGACGCAGUCUGACUUGAGCAGAGGGGGCCAAAAGGCACCUGCUCCAGCACAGAGCGCGAGCACCCAGAGAUUCAGCACCACGCGGUGGACAGCUCCGGGCUGGUGGUCCUGAAGUAGAGGGGAGGCUGAAGGAGUCCGAAAGGAGGCGGAGGCCAGGUUGGGCGCGGGAGAUCUGGAGGAGGAAUGGAGGAGGGGCUGGGGGCGGGCCGGGGCCGGGGGCGGGGCGGGCUGCGAUUGAAAGCGCCAGUUGAGCGGGCGGCAUAGAGCACAGAGCCGCGGAGCUAGCAAGCGAGCGAGGGAGCUAUCGGGAGCUGGAAACCCGCGCCCCCGGCUCCUCUCCGUUUCUCGCCGUGCCAGAGCCAGGUGCGCAAGGUAGGAUAAGCCGGGUGGUGCCGCAGCCGCCGCAGACCUUAUCGAUCCUGACCCCACGUCCGGGAGUCCCUGGGGCCCUCGAGCUCAGGGGCUAGCUAGAGCGUCCAGACCGUGCUCACCAGGAGCUGCGAAAAGCGGGAAGAGAGCCCCCCGUGUUCCGCUUUUCUUCCCCAAAGAACGCACACCCUGCAUCUAGCUCCCUCAUUCCUUCUGCCCCUCCGUCCUUUGGUCAGUGUUUCUAUCUGUGCCUCUGUCUUUGUCUCAGCCUCUCAGGCUCCAUCGCUCCCUCCCCGAAUUUUGUGGUCCAGGCCCCCAGCUGCCCUCUUUUAGGAUUCUCUCCCCCUUUAGGGUUCCGUCCCUGUUAGAGCUCUGGUCCUAGGUGCCCCCGUGGGAAGCUCAUGGUCUUGACCUGUUUGGGCCUCAGCCCCCAUCUGGGUCCCUGUGUUGGUCUUCAUGCUUGCCUCUCUCCUGUUUGUCUGCUUGAGCUGCUUCUUUCUGGGUAUCCACAGGAUCACAGUCCCCCUGGCCUGGCCUGGUCCCAGUGGGAGAUUAACCCUGGGGAGUUGAGGGGGCAAAAUGAAGAGCCCAGUCUCUGUGGACAGGGCCUGGGGUCCUUGAACUAGUUCUGCCCUUCUUCAGGCUCAGUUUCCCUCUCCUAGCCUUCCCAAGCCUGUGUGAUUUUGAGAUCCUAUGUGAGAUGGGUGCCUGGGAGGGCAGCUGGAGCACAAAUGAUGAGGUGCAGAGUGGGAAAGGGAGACAGGGUCUCUGAGGGCCAGGACCAGGGUAAACAGGGCCCUGAGGUUGAGGAUGGGGAAACUAGAGAUCGUGAUUUUUCUCUGCUUGAUUCUGAGCUGAGGAGAAAACAAAAGCAAAAAGUCUCAAACGUCAUUCAACAUAGAGCUAAAAUGUCCAAAAAGUCUCACCUUGAGCUGUUUUGUAAUCUUGACCAGACAAACUGCCCCCAACCCAUGAUACACACAUACAGUCUCAUCUACUUUCCCUAUUGAUUUUAGGAUCUGUGGCCACUUCACUGUCCCUCCCUGGGUCCAGCCUCUCUACCUUGCUUAACUUCCAGGGCCUAGAGACUAUUACUUCCUCAGUCAUGGAGCUCUGGGGAUGGCUUUUUAAGAACCAGAGGCCAAGGACACCCCCCCCCCCCGCCGCCUUGGGUGCUCACCAGGGCUCCAGUUUCCCUAGUGGUCAUAGACUAACUACCCUUUAGAGGGUCUUCCUUCCCUCUUCCCUGGUGGGUUCUCCACCAGCAAUAGCUCCUCUCUGGAAACCUAAGGCUCAGGGUGGGGACUGGACCCCUAAGUUUGUCACUGUGACCUGCUGCAAAGCUGUUGACUUUGGGGUCCCAGGAGGUUUGUGCAGGGUGUUGGACAUUCUUCUAAGUCUCCUGUUUUCUCUUUGGGCCUCUACUCUCUGCAGCCCUGCAUCUCUGCUAAAUUUGGGAUGGGCACAGAGCCCAUCUCCAGUCCCAUAUCAGAGCAGGCCUGUGAGACAGGCCCAAGGGUAUGUCCCAGGAGUUUAGUCUAAUUAGGAAAACCACCUCUCCAUGGCUCCUUAGCCCCAGGGAAAGGAGUUUAGGGGAGGCAGAGUCAGAAGGGGUAGCCACCCUCGGGUUCCACUUCUCCCCUACCUGUUUGUCUGUCUUUCUUUCUCUGCAGGAGCUGGGUCUCUCCUCAUCCUCUUCCUGUCUGUCCUUUCCUGGUCCUUUUCCAAUUCUCUUUGCCUUUGCUGCUUCUACCUUCAUCUCCUGGAGGCCCAGGUCUGCUGGACCCAUCCAUCCCCUUUGGGGCCAUGGGAUCACUGCUUGGGCUCCUGGCUCUCCUGCUGCUGUGGGGUGCUGUGGCUGAGGGCCCAGCCAAGAAGGUGCUGACCCUGGAGGGGGACCUGGUUCUGGGUGGGCUGUUUCCUGUACAUCAGAAGGGCAGCCUGGCAGAGGAGUGUGGUCCUGUCAAUGAACAUCGCGGCAUCCAGCGCCUAGAGGCCAUGCUUUUUGCACUAGAUCGUAUCAACCGAGACCCGAGCCUACUGCCAGGUGUGCGCCUGGGGGCACACAUACUCGACAGUUGCUCCAAGGACACACAUGCUCUGGAGCAGGCACUUGACUUCGUGCGUGCCUCACUCAGCCGUGGUGCCGAUGGCUCACGCCACAUUUGCCCCGACGGCUCUUAUGCCACCCAUGGUGAUGCUCCCACUGCCAUCACUGGUGUCAUUGGCGGCUCCUACAGUGAUGUCUCCAUCCAGGUGGCCAACCUCCUGCGCCUAUUUCAGAUCCCCCAGAUCAGCUAUGCCUCCACCAGUGCCAAGCUGAGUGACAAGUCCCGCUAUGACUACUUCGCCCGUACAGUGCCCCCUGACUUCUUCCAAGCCAAAGCCAUGGCUGAGAUUCUCCGCUUCUUCAACUGGACCUAUGUGUCCACUGUGGCAUCUGAGGGUGACUAUGGUGAAACAGGCAUCGAAGCCUUUGAGCUAGAGGCCCGUGCCCGCAACAUCUGUGUGGCCACCUCGGAGAAGGUGGGCCGAGCCAUGAGCCGUGCGGCCUUUGAGGGAGUGGUACGAUCUCUGCUGCAGAAGCCCAGUGCCCGAGUGGCUGUCUUGUUCACCCGUUCUGAGGAUGCCCGUGAGCUCCUUGCUGCCACCCAACGCCUCAAUGCCAGCUUCACCUGGGUAGCCAGUGAUGGCUGGGGGGCCCUGGAGAGUGUGGUGGCAGGCAGCGAGGGUGCUGCUGAAGGCGCCAUCACCAUAGAGCUGGCUUCCUACCCCAUUAGUGACUUUGCCUCCUACUUCCGGAGUCUGGACCCCUGGAACAACAGUCGGAACCCCUGGUUCCGCGAGUUCUGGGAGCAGAGGUUCCGCUGCAGCUUCCGGCAGCGAGACUGUGCAUCCCACUCCCUGAAAGCUGUGCCCUUUGAGCAAGAGUCAAAGAUCAUGUUUGUGGUCAAUGCAGUGUAUGCCAUGGCCCACGCACUGCACAAUAUGCAUCGUGCCCUCUGCCCCAAUACCACCCACCUCUGUGAUGCAAUGCGGCCUGUCAAUGGGCGCCGCCUCUACAAAGACUUCGUGCUCAACGUCAAAUUUGAUGCCCCAUUCCGCCCAGCUGACACACACAGUGAGGUCCGCUUUGACCGCUUUGGUGAUGGCAUUGGUCGCUACAACAUCUUCACCUACCUGCGGGCCGGCAGUGGGCGCUAUCGCUACCAGAAGGUGGGCUACUGGGCAGAAGGCCUAACCUUGGAUACCAGCCUCAUCCCAUGGGCCUCACCCUCAGCUGGGCCCCUGCCUGCCUCUCGCUGCAGUGAGCCCUGCCUCCAGAAUGAGGUGAAGAGCGUGCAGCCUGGGGAGGUCUGCUGCUGGCUCUGCAUCCCCUGCCAGCCCUACGAGUACCGGCUGGAUGAGUUCACCUGUGCUGACUGUGGCCUGGGCUACUGGCCCAAUGCCAGCCUGACUGGCUGCUUCGAGCUGCCGCAGGAGUAUAUCCACUGGGGUGAUGCCUGGGCCUUGGGACCUGUCACCAUUGCCUGCCUGGGCGCCCUGGCCACCCUCUUUGUGCUGGGUGUCUUCGUGCGGCACAAUGCCACCCCAGUGGUCAAAGCCUCCGGCCGGGAGCUCUGCUACAUCCUGCUGGGUGGCGUCUUCCUCUGCUACUGCAUGACCUUCGUCUUCAUUGCCAAGCCAUCCACAGCAGUGUGCACCCUACGCCGCCUAGGUUUGGGCACUGCAUUCUCAGUCUGCUACUCAGCCCUGCUCACCAAGACCAACCGCAUUGCACGUAUCUUUGGUGGGGCCCGAGAGGGAGCCCAGAGGCCACGCUUCAUCAGCCCUGCCUCUCAGGUGGCCAUCUGCCUAGCCCUUAUCUCAGGCCAGCUGCUCAUCGUGGCCACCUGGCUAGUAGUGGAGGCACCAGGCACGGGCAAGGAGACAGCCCCUGAGCGGCGGGAGGUGGUGACAUUGCGCUGUAACCACCGAGAUGCUAGCAUGUUGGGCUCACUGGCCUAUAAUGUACUCCUCAUUGCGCUCUGCACGCUCUACGCCUUCAAGACUCGCAAGUGCCCAGAGAACUUCAAUGAGGCCAAGUUCAUUGGCUUCACCAUGUACACCACCUGCAUCAUCUGGCUGGCCUUUCUGCCCAUCUUCUAUGUCACCUCCAGUGACUACCGGGUGAGCUACCAGCAAGGAGGCGGGGAAGGAGGGCAGAGCCAGACACAGGACCCUCUGUUUCCUGGUAUCAUUUAAUCUUCUUAUAACUUUGAGGCUUCAACAGGUUUAGUGCUCACCCAAGGCACACAGCUUGUGGUGGCCCAGUUGGGACUGGAUCCCAGAGGAAUGUGGAAAAGCUGAGUGGGGCCUGGGGAAAUGGCUAUGGAGGUGGAGGAAUUAGAGCUGAGAAGAGAUUUUAGGGCUCAGAGAUCAUCUCCUAACCCUGCAGGAGGUGGAGGUGUGGAAAUAAGUCCAAAUGAGCAGAGGCUCUACCCUGCUCUACUGAGGAGCUGGUUGCAGAAGAGGUGACCUAGUCUCUGCUCUUGUGGAAUUCCUGCACCAGCAGGGUGAUUGACCAAAGAGCUGCUGACUGGUUUAGGUUGACAAAGGUCCCAGUGAGAAUACAGAAAAGGGAAGUGUGUAGGUGGUGGUGGUAAUGGGGUGUGUGUGUGUGUGUGUGUGUGUGUGUGUGUGUAGGGAGUUGGGGAGGGCUUCUUGGAAGAGGAGUCCUUGAACUGGACUCUACAACAUAGGAAAGUUGGAAUAGAUAGGGUGGAGGAGGUAGCAGAGGACAGCCAAAACAUGCUGAUUGGAGUGGAGGGUCUGCAUUGUACCCCUAUCCCUGAGUUGAGGUGGGGAGGCAUACACAGUGGAAAGGUAGGCAGAAGUGAGAGGGAAGCAGGAAUGAGAAUUGCAGGGCUAUCGAGCCAGCGGCCCCAGAGGGUACCAUGCUCUGAUGCCCUUUGGAGCUGUGCAGUAUGGCAUGGUGCCCUCAGAGCUUUGCAACCCUAGGGUUGAGAAAUGAAACUAGAAUGAGCAGGAAAGGUGAAGCAGAGAAGGGGAGGAAUCUGGGGUUAGGGUUCAGAAAGGUCAAAGCAGGUGAAAACUGUACCCUAGUUGGUGACUUCUAAGCAAAAUCCCAACUGGCACUGAGUGCUCAAUGGGUCUUCUCAGCUUCUAGGGGCAAUGGCUGCUUUAGAUGGGGUGGUUGGAGAAGGCCUCUCUGAGAAGGUAACAGGUUAGCUGAGCUCUGAAUACUAAGAAGAUAAUCUUUGUUAAUCCUCAUGACUCAGGAGUAAACUCCAUGGCUCUCCCCAUUUUACAGAUGAAGAAUCGGAGACUCAGGGAGGUUCAAUCCCUUGCCUAAGUUCACUCAGCUUGGGAAUAUAGAGCAGGGUCUGAACUGACAAUCUUAACAAUUAAAGGAGCAGGAAAAUCGAGGCAAGAGCCCCUGCAAAGGCCCUUUCCCUCAGGAUGGAGGUACAGACCACCACCAUGUGUGUGUCAGUCAGCCUCAGUGGCUCCGUGGUGCUUGGUUGUCUCUUCGCACCCAAGCUGCACAUCAUCCUCUUCCAGCCAC